rnacentral:rRNA from 1 species
CGGAUUGCAGGCUGCAACCCGCCUGCAUGAAGUUGGAAUCACUAGUAAUCGCGGAUCAGCAUGCCGCGGUGAAUGCGUUCUCGGGCCUUGUACACACCGCCCGUCACACCAUGAGAGUCGGGAACACCCGAAGUCCGUAGCCUAACCGCAAGGGGGGCGCGGCCGAAGGUGGGCUCGAUAAUUGGGGUGAAGUCGUAACAAGGUAAC